rnacentral:rRNA from 1 species
UACGAAGGGGGCUAGCGUUGCUCGGAAUCACUGGGCGUAAAGCGCACGUAGGCGGAUUGUUAAGUCAGGGGUGAAAUCCCGGGGCUCAACCUCGGAACUGCCUUUGAUACUGCAAAUCUCGAGUCCGGAAGAGGUGAGUGGAAUUCCUAGUGUAGAGGUGAAAUUCGUAGAUAUUAGGAAGAACACCAGUGGCGAAGGCGGCUCACUGGUCCGGUACUGACGCUGAGGUGCGAAAGCGUGGGGAGCAAACAGGG